CGUAUGUAACCUACCUUGUUCAGGGGGAUAGCCUCUCGAAAGAGAGAUUAAGACCGCAUAACAUCAUAUUGCAGCAUUGCAAGAUGAUCAAAUAUUUAUAGGAACAAGAUGGGCAUGCGGGACAUUAGCUAGUUGGCGGGGUAACGGCCCACCAAGGCGACGAUGUCUAGGGGAUCUGAGAGGAUGACCCCCCACACUGGUACUGAGACACGGACCAG
rnacentral:rRNA from 1 species